UGUAUCACAGUGCCCACAAUAUGUUUGAGGUAAUGCCCACCAGGUUGCUUUUUGAUUAAUUAGUUCAAUUAUUAUAUGGACAUGUGAAGAUACUUUAGUUUGAUCGAGUCCAGAUAAUUGAGUUCAAUCGAGUCAAAUGUGGAGGAGUAACAUCUACGUAUAGAAAUUGAUAAUAAGUAAUCCAAUGCCCGAUUCAGUUCUUAGUUCUUACGUCUACAUAUGCAUGCAAUGACUGAAUAUUAUGACGACCAGUUCAGGAUUCAGAGGUAGAGGAAUAGCCUGCAAGUGUGCACCGUUUCUGAUGCUUGCACGGCGAGUGCUCUUCCUGGCCACCGCCUCGGGCACCACCAAUGGCAUCGGGAAGUAUUCAUCCGCCAAACCAGCUGUGCAGGCACCCUCCUCCGAAACACUCUCAGCGAGCCCCCUCACCCAAUCCAGCAUUCCCGGCCAUGUACUCCCACUUCCUCUUCAACCCCCUCCCGUUGGGUCAGGCCUUCCUUCAAUUCGGCGGACAUUGAGUCGCCGCCUCGGCUCUAGACUCACUGGCGAGUGGACUGGCGAGGGAAGAUGACGGGAUGGAGAUUGAUCACUAUACGCAAAAGGUGGACCUACUUUGUUUUGUUAUUAGUAUUACCAACACUAAACUGCAUGCAUGGGAACUGGGAGUUUGAGACGGGCUUGCAGUAAGUUGUAAGCCGCGACCAUACAAUUUCAGUAUCUAUUCAUGUGUACGUCGGACCUAGACAAGGUUGGAGGGCAGGUAGAGGACCGGUGGUGCGUUAGGCAUGCAGCGUGUGUAACAACAGUCGACCACAGGUGGGCAGCACACUGUCACUAGGGAAGGAGAUGGUGGCAGUGUGUUUUGAUUAGCAGCAGGUGGCUCCAUGGUGGCCAGUGCAGCAGCGAGCUAGCGUGUUGCUGUGGGAAGAGGCAGAAAAAUUAAUCUGUUUGUGGUUGGACGAUGGAUUCCCGUUCCCUGGUAGGCAGCUAGCUCUUGAAAUAAUUUCAGCAAGAACAACAUCCUCAAUUUGGAGUGGUCUUAUUCGCUACUGCAUAUCUUGGACAUUUUCAAAUGUAGAUCAGAUUAACUAUAUAGUAGACACUGUGCUGUUGGUGUUUAACUGCUCGUGAGAUACGCGUCAAUAUUGCAAUCAACUCUGACUGCAAUUGUAUAGUCUCAAGGGCCUGCAUUCUAUAUUGAAGGUUCAACAUUGAAGCUGCUUGCAUUGAUCCGCAAUAGACCUUGACUUCAGCAAAAAAUGAGGUAUAUUGAGCUUAAUGACACAUGGUUACAUACAGAUAGAAGAACCGCUUGUACUAUAUAUGUUUUUGUCCUGAAGUACCGUUUCUACUUCUGAUUCAUGUAAUGAAUAUUCAGUGUAUAUAGUUCAUUCUCUACACCUUUUUUGAAGAAAACACCUAUUUCUCUGUGUUUAUAUUUAAAACCUAUGUUUUUAUUUUAAAGAACACAUAUGAAUUUUUGUUGGACAUGAAAUGAGCUACCAUAACUACUAUAAUCUAUGCAUAUGGUUUCCGUAGAUUUUUUUGGUGAAGAGUUGGAAUACCAAAACACAAGAAUGCACUAGAUGUCCUUGAUUAUAGUUAUACUUUGUGUAGGUUUCUAUAUGUUGAAUUUCACAUGGAGCAACUUGGUCCGCGAGUUCUGUACACACUAUUUUCAUCAGCUUGUGUGGUAGCAACAAUAUUUGUGCCACGACAUGUAGUCGAAACAUAGGGAAAAACUUUGUGGAGAGAGAAGUUUCACUGUUGAAAACACAAUAAAGGCACCCUCUACUCUUUCCUCUGACAUAAACCAUUUCAGAUCAUCUUUGUCUACCAGUCAGCAUCUAUAAAUAGCACUGGUGAUAUUAUAAGUUGGCAGUAUUAUAUAUAUUCUUAGUUGAGAACUUGGUAGUUAGGGCAUGUGGAUUACAAGUACCACACCGAGAAUACUUACAUGCUCUUGUCAUUGCAGGUUUCAUGGUGGCAGUGCCUUCUUCUACAUGAUGGGAAUUCAACGGCAUUUUUUUUUGUUAAAUACUAGCUGGGUGUGUCGUCUAUUCACAGAUCGUGUAAUUUGACCAUCUCUUGCAGACAAAACACUCGGGGAAAGUUCCCAGCCGUGCACCUGUGACCGCUGGAGAGGCAUACUGUUUUAGGAAUUCAUGACAGACUGGUAGUGAGGUUUGUGUCUAUAGGAUGGAAUUACUUGAUAUGUCAAAAUGGUGGUCUUUAUUAUGCAAUUUAAGUGAUCUUUUGUUGAACCCCUCCUUUCCAGAAAACUACUCAUAAUGUUUUGGGAUUAUUUGAUUUUAGUAAGGUGACUUAUACACCUAGACGGCGGGAGUAUUAAUUAAUCUUUCAAGUUUGAUCUUCUGUCUGCAUAGUUUUAAUGAUAUUGAAUGCAUCAGUUCAAAGCAUUUUGUGGUGAAAAUCUAGGUCAACAACCAUAUACUAAAUGAACAUGCUACUGACUGCAUUUCCUGUUAACAGAAUUUAUUGUUUGAUAUUUGGGAUCCUCAGUUUCUAACAAUAAUUCAACCUGUGGCAACACACCCGCAUAUGCACCUUAUAGAGAUGAAGGCAACCUUAUUUGGUUGUCAGACUUGAAUAUAAGUCGAGCGUAGUGGCACGUGAAGCUGGUUUAGUCGAUUUUUAAGCCCGUUGCAACGCACGGAUGUUUUUCGGAUUAAAUGGAAGUGCGGAUUAAAUGGAAGUGCGGAGCUAAAAUAGGUAAUGAUGAACAUUGUUAGGGUCCCUCAAAUUUCAUCUUACAAAAAGAAAUACUCAGUUUAACCUUAUUUCUGACGUUUACAAAAAUUGGUUUAUAAAAAUAUUGCAUAAUGGCACAUGGAGCAUGUUAUAUUUUAUUUUUCGCCCAGUGCAACGCACGGGCAUUCUGAGAGAGUGAAGCAUAUUUGCUUGAGAUUUGAAUUAUUUUUUUAUGUCAGGUUUGUACGCUAUAUUGUUUGAUUAAUGAAAACUGAUAAGAGUAGUAGCAAACACUUGAUUGAGUAAGCUACUGGAUUUUACGAGUAAUACACAGUAGUUUCUUGCAAUAUUAUCUGCAUGACAAGAAACACCCAUAUUUGAUUUUGCUCUGUGAUUGGUUCAAAUAUCACUUUUUGGGCUAAAGCUGAUUGGAUACGAGUAGUAGUGUCAACAGUAAUAACUUGAAACAUGAUUUUAUCAUGGCUCUAAAUUUUAUUGCUGAUGAUUUCUUUCAG
rnacentral:lncRNA from 1 species